UCAUACAUGGUGUAAAUGGAGAUGCUAGUCAGAGCACACAAUAGAGGUAUAGGUUCGAGUCCUAUUGUAUGAA
rnacentral:tRNA from 1 species